rnacentral:rRNA from 1 species
CCUACGGGAGUCUGCAGUGGGGGAUAUUGCACAAUGGGGGCAACCCUGAUGCAGCGACGCCGCGUGUGGGAAGACGGUCCUCUGGAUUGUAAACCACUGUCCCCAGGGACGAAGAUGACGGUACCUGGGGAGGAAGCUCCGGCUACAUACGUGCCAGCAGCCGCGGUAAUCCGUGGGGGGCGAGCGUUGUCCGGAAUUACUGGUGGUAAAGGGGGCGUAGGCGGGACUGGAAGUUGGGUGUCAAAUCUACCGGCUCAACCAGUAGCCGCACUCAAAACUGCAGUUCGUGAGUGAAGUAGAGGCAGGCGGAAUUCCGAGUGUAGCGGUGAAAUGCGUAGAUAUUAGGAGGAACACCAGUGGCGAAGGCGGCCUGCUGGGCUUUAACUGACGCUGAGGCUCGAAAGUGUGGGGAGCAAACAGGAUUAGAUACCCUAGUAGUC